GGAUUGUGGCUCAAUGGUAGAGUGCUCGCCUAGCAUGCGUGAGGCCCUGAGUUCUAUCCUUAGCACCA
rnacentral:tRNA from 1 species